AAUGCGUAACCUGACCCUGAAAGCAUGUCUUAUUUUAGAAAUUUGACUGCUCUGCGUUUCAGGUGCACUGAAGAGAGCUGUGUGUGAGAGGCAGGAUGUGGCCACGCUGAGGGACUCUCUCUCUGGGGUCAGUGUGGCCCAGGUAGAGUGCCCCUGUGUGCCCCUACGUCCGCGUCCUCCGGCCAGCCCACUCCUGCUGCUGGUGGAGCUCCCAGCUGCCUUGCAGGCCCUCAGGGACUCGCUACAGGCUUGUGAAUCUGGCGUCACUCACCAGGGCCUGCAGACAGGCUUAUGUUUAAAUGCCAUCUGGAACCCCAAGGAGGUCUCAAUUACCCGGCUCUUACAGUGCAGGAGCUGCACCUCCCUGCGUCCCCCUAGCUGCUCCGUCAUCGCGGCUGACGUCUCACACCCCCAGGACAGCACCGCCGACCAGAUUUGGUUGAUCCCAUCCUCCGUGCGGUUCUGCUCCCAGAUUCCGAUCUGAGAGGCGGCACAGGACAUCCUGUACAGACAAACCCCUUCCCCGCCAUGCGUCCCCCCUGCCUCUGAACAGACAGUGCCUCCUCAGCUCUCCGGAGUGGCACAGACAUACUCCUGCUGGUUCGUAGGGAAAGGAGCUCUCUUUUUGUUUUAUUUUGUGUGUAGCACAAGCCAAAACUGUCUAGAUGGUGAACACAGUUGGCUGUUUUUGUAUCUGAGCACUAGAUUCUAGAGAACAGAGAAGGGCUGGUUGUGUUUUUAAAAGCGUAUCAGCAGACAAGACUGACAAAUAGAAAGUGUUGAUGAAGGAAGCUACAUGUUUUUAACCUCCUUUCAUUGUUUUGUAAAGGUAAAGUCUAAGUAUAGAUCCAUACAUGCAUGAACCACACUACAGAUUUACUCUGUUCUAAAACUCCAGAAAAUACUUAAACAUCUGUUGGAAGCUCAAUUGCACUCUGACUGUAAUUAAACUAUAAUUACAGAUAUUCCAUUCCAUUAAACCUGGCGGUGAUGGUAGGGCUUUAAAUAAACGUUUCAUCAUCACUUUUAUAGUUUUGCAGUUUUU
rnacentral:lncRNA from 1 species